GCUCUUGCUUCGGCAGUACAUAUGCUAAAAUUGGAACAAUGCAGAGAAAAUUAGCAUGGCCAUUGCCCAAGAAUGACACAGACAUUCGUGAAGCAUUCCAUAUUUUU